GUGAGGAAUUUUCCGCAAUGGGCGAAAGCCUGACGGAGCAAUGCCGCGUGAAGGAUGAAGGCCUAUGGGUUGUAAACUUCUUUUCUCAGAAAAGAAUUAUGACGGUAUCUGAGGAAUAAGCAUCGGCUAACUCUGUGCCAGCAGCCGCGGUAAGACAGAGGAUGCAAGCGUUAUCCGGAAUGAUUGGGCGUAAAGCGUCUGUAGGUUGUUUAAAAAGUAUUCUGUCAAAGAUUAGGGCUUAACCCUAGAUAGGCAGAAUAAACUUUUAAGCUAGAGUUUGGUAGAGACAGAGGGAAUUCCCGGUGGAGCGGUGAAAUGCGUAGAUAUCGGGAAGAACACCAAAGGCGAAGGCACUCUGCUGGGCCAAUACUAACACUGAGAGACGAAAGCGAGGGGAGCAAAUGGGAUUAGAAACCCGAGUAGUCC
rnacentral:rRNA from 1 species